CUUGGUCAUUUAGAGGAAGUAAAAGUCGUAACAAGGUUUCCGUAGGUGAACCUGCGGAAGGAUCAUUAUCGAGUUAGGGUCCUCUGGGCCCCAUCUCCAACCCUUGUCUAUCUUACCAUGUUGCUUUGGCGGACCCGUCUUUAACUGGACCGCCGGGGACCUCGGUCCCUGGCCCGUGCCCGCCAGUAGCCCCAAUUAAUUCUUCGAAUACUGAUGUCUAAGUCUUAAAAGCAAUAACUAAAACUUUCAACAACGGAUCUCUUGGUUCUGGCAUCGAUGAAGAACGCAGCGAAAUGCGAUAAGUAAUGCGAAUUGCAGAAUUCCGUGAGUCAUCGAAUCUUUGAACGCACAUUGCGCCCUUUGGUAUUCCAAAGGGCAUGCCUGUUCGAGCGUCAUUAUCAACCAUCAAGCCCGGCUUGUCGUUGGAUCUGACAUCGUUAAAAGAUGGAUCCGAAAGAUAAUGACGGCGUCGCGAUCGGCCCCAGGUGCAACGAGCUUUAGACGGCACGCAUUAUGGAGGUCGGCCGGCCCGGUCUUAACCAUUUCAUCUCUGAAGAUUGACCUCGGAUCAGGUAGGAAUACCCGCUGAACUUAAGCAUAUCAAUAAGCGGAGGA
rnacentral:rRNA from 1 species